GCCACAUCAACAUUUUAUAUUGAUUUUUUUAUAGAGAUAAUAAGACAAAAAGAAAUAGUAAUAUAAAAUAUUGAUGUGGCUUAACCGUGACCGCACAAAUAUGAGGGGAUGAGAGUGUAUGGAAAGUGGGAUGGCAAAGAAGCCAGGUCCCUUUAAAGAAUACAAUGUUUACAAACAUAUAUAGUAUAAGUUGCAUCGUAUCACAUACAAAAAAUAUGUAAAAAAAAAAAUACAUUAUCAAAUAAAGAUUUUUUUUGUCAUUUGUAUUAUAUUCUGUCAAACUCAUAUAUAGCUUACACAACUUAUUAAGCUAAAACAAAAAACCAACGGUUAGGUCUUUCCUUAAUUAUUCAUUAGUAAGAAUAUAAAAUUAAUUGCAUAUUAUUUGCAAAAAAAAAAAAGAAUCUUUGGUUGAUGGUUAAAAUUUGAUAUGUGGAUCGAUGUGGCCCUCUUCGCAGGAUAAACACGUUGCCAUCAUUUUUCAUGUGAGUAUUGUACUCGUCAUCUGGCCAUUACAUGCAAGAAUCCCGCCUUUGUAGAGUCUUAUUAAUUUGUUACAACUUCAAGGGUUGGUCGGAUUUGAACCACCGGGUGGGGCAGAACCCUUCUGCAGUACUUGCUUGAUAAUCAAAUUCAUAGGGAAGUUGUAUUUGACAGUAGUACCCCUAUCCCUAAUUUGUAGAACAUCCUCCUUCAUCAUCAUGAGUUUCUCUUUACCCUGCAAAACUCUACAGGCCUCGAGUGAGUGCGUGUUCACAAGAAACACCACUACCAUGGCCACCAAAAGCAUAUUCAAAAACUUCAUGUUGUUCCUUGUUUGGCAAUAAUAAUUUUUCUUUUUUCUUUCUUUCUCUGUAUGCAAUGCAAACAAGGAGAUGGAGAACGAAUGAAUGAAUUAUAGAGGACUAUAGAGCUCUCUAUAUAUAUGGACCAACUUCUAUUAUGAGUUGAAUUUUCCAAUAAUAUUUUAUGAAGCUAUUCUUUGUUUUCACUAUUGAGUCAAAAGGUCAGAUAUUGAAUGAGUCAUACAAUUACGAGAAGAAACUGGGUUGUACAAAAAAAUAAAUAAAGAAAUAUAUAUAUAUAUAUAUAUGUAAAAUCACCUCAGAAAAUUCCAUAUCAUUUCGAUCGUUAUUAUACAUUGUAUUUAACUAUAUAUACAUGGAAAUAUCUCGCAAUAUUAUAUGGAAUAAGGUAAUAGU
rnacentral:lncRNA from 1 species